GAUGAACGCUGGCGGCGUGCCUAACACAUGCAAGUCGAACGGAGAUUACGGACGGAAGUUUUCGGAUGGAAGACUGUAAUUCUUAGUGGCGGACGGGUGAGUAACGCGUGGGCAACCUGCCCUAUACAGGGGGAUAGCAGCUGGAAACGGCUGGUAAGACCGCAUAAGUCGGCGAGACCGCAUGGUUUUGCCGGGAAAUGAGCAAUCAGGUAUAGGAUGGGCCCGCGUCCGAUUAGCCAGUUGGCAGGGUAAAAGCCUACCAAAGCAACGAUCGGUAGCCGGACUGAGAGGUCGGACGGCCACAUUGGGACUGAGACACGGCCCAAACUCCUACGGGAGGCAGCAGUGGGGGAUAUUGCACAAUGGAGGAAACUCUGAUGCAGCGACGCCGCGUGAGUGAAGAAGUAUUUCGGGAUGUAAAGCUCUAUCAGCAGGGAAGAUGAUGACGGUACCUGACUAAGAAGCCCCGGCUAACUACGUG
rnacentral:rRNA from 1 species